ensembl:miRNA Gm44497 predicted gene, 44497
GGUUCUGCUCAGCAGCAGCAGCAGCAGCAGCAGCAGCAGCAGCAGCAGCAGCAGCAGCAGCAGCAGCAGAG